rnacentral:rRNA from 1 species
UGCUCAGUAACAAGUAGUCAACAUGUCAAUGGUACGACGAUACCUCGAGAAAGCAGGAUAAACGGCGAUAGGCCACAUUUGUUGAAUGGAUCAUGAACCCAUCAUAUAGUGUGCAUCGUUUACAGCUGGGGACUAUCAGGGUAUCUAAUGAGGUUUGCUCCACCAGCUUUCAUCCCUCACCGGGAGCGAGAGAAGGAAACCGGAGAUGGGCACUGAGACAAGGCAGUGGAUCAGAGGAUUUUACACCCUACCCAGAAAGUACCGCAAUCCUCUAAAGCUUCCAGGGUUAGUAGUAUCUCCCGCAGCCCAUGGGUUGAGCAGGUGGAUUUAACGGAAGAGCAGAAUAACAAGUUACGAAGUCUUUAGUCACAAUAAUCGUGUAAUACCAGCAGGGGUGAGGGUAUUACCGGGGCGGUGGACACCAAGCAUCCCCACCCUGUCUUGCACACCAUUUUUAGAGGUCCCAAAAGAAGCCGUUGGCGGGCAUCAGUCAGAGCAACCCUGGCAAGCUGGAGCGUCAAGCAGAGUUUUCGCGGUAGGGGUAAAAUAUUGGGAUUGGGCCAAGACCACAGUGCCCAUAGGCGGGCUCCCAGAAUCAAAGCCAGUACGGGGGAUGGAAGUGGGGGGACCUUACCUCACCAGCAGCCUGAUUGGUCCCAGUCCAAUCCAAGGGCCAUAUAGAGAUCAGCCAUGAUCCAUUCCAGACAUUGCGGCAGGGAAGCGUUUAUCUUCACUUUCCGGGGAGUAUGCACGCCCGAUGGGCAUGUAAAGGAAGUGGUGGGGAACCGC